AAUUAGCCACACUGUGUCCCCGCUUGGAAGGUGGCAGCUUCCUUUAGCCUGGUAAUCCACCAUGAAGGCCGGUUUCACACUUGAGCCCUGAAACAGGUCCGCAGGGAAUUGCUCCUGGGGUUGAAAAUUAGAACUCGACAAGAAAUGCUUUCCUGCUCGCCCCCAAAAGGAACUGGGUGGGGUGGUGCACACGCGCAGUGCCAGCACUUGAGAGAUGAAGACAAGAAGAUCAGUGACCCAUCAGGAGUCCAAGGUCAUCCCCUGCUACACCGCAAAUUCAAGGCCAGCCUGGGCUACCUGUAGACAAUCAGAGACCCCUCUGCUACCCUCCUUACAUCUCCUGUGCCUGGGUGUUAGCUGAGCCUGCUUUACUGACUAGAAAAAAAACCCUGAAGUUCAGAAAAAUGGAACUCCCUAUGCUCCACAGGUUAGUCAGCCACAGGGCCAUGAUGAGGAAGAGGAGGGAAGUGAGGUAAAAUGUACUGGGCCAGGUGGUGGGGGACACGACACAGCCCUUAGCAUUUAUCCCUGUCUGCAAACAGGAGACUCUGAACGACUAAGCAGGGACCAGGGGACAGGGAAGAG